CUCUCUCUCUCCUCUGUCUGUCUUUCGAAACUGUCGGUUUUUUGCCGAAAAUACCUGGAUUUAAGCCGCGAUUUUUCUCUUGUACGUCUCUCUCUUUACUCUCUUCGGAUUCGAAGCACAAAGAAGGAAAAAAUAGCUUCUACAUCAAGUAAGAGCGAGCUUCGGAAGUGGAGGGCCGAAGAAGAAAUGGCACUGUCGAGGGUUUAUAAUCCCUCUUAUGGUGCCAAUGGGAUGUACAAAGACGUCGAGGGAGCGGAUCCGACGUAUCCCAGAAUGUGCAAGAAAUCCGUCAAAGCAAAUGUCAGAUGGAGUUUCAACACUGUUAUAGACCAGAUUGGUACUAAAGCAACGGGAAUUAAGAGCAUUCUUAAGAAGGAAGCGACAUAAGAAGCUCUUCUUUUUUAUCUAAAGGAUCUCGAUGGAAGUGAAGAUCCAACGGUUAAAGUAUGGAUGCAAUAUCUUGAGAAGAAUCCGGAGAGCAUAUACUGGAAAAAAAAUCCAUGAAAUGGAAAUUCGUUCCAGAAAUUCUUUAAAGAAAAAGAAGAAGGGGAAAAGUUUGGUAGAUGAAGAUGAAAUAGAAGAUGAGGGACGAGAAAAAGAAGAAGAAGAACAAGAACAAUAACCACAACAACCGCAACAAAGAGUCAUACCAGAACAAGGGAUACAAAAGGGAGCACAAAGAGUUCACGGAGUGUCAAGUCUCGAAGCACUGAAGA